GUGAUAGUCGUAAUUAAAUAUUUUGGAUAAAUUUAAUUUUUGAAUGAAACACUUCCUUCUCGUUCACUGCAUUAUCUGUUGCACUUCAAAUGCACAUAUUUAUGUUUAUCUGUUGUAGGGUUGCCAUACAACAAGUAUUAUUCGAAAUUGUAGGUAUUUUGGCUGUCAUUCCAGAAAAACUUUGUAUUAAUUUGAUAUAGUUAAGUAUUGAUUUUUGGAAAAUAUAAUAUUUUAGAAACAUGAUAACAAAUGUUAUCAUAGGUUUUUUAAGGCUGUUCUGGAAUGACAUUUGUUGGGUUUUGUUUACUUCAAGGUCUGAUACAGAAACUGGAGUAAUUUUCAUUUAAUUAAUUAGAGAUUUUUAUUGUUUAUUCGUUUGCCACCCGGCUUUUGUUUUGGGUCCUUUAAAUUCGAGAUCAUUCAGUGCGGCGUUCUUUUUGUGACGAGAUCCUCUUGUAUAGUGAUCGGACGGCCGUAUAAGGGCCUGGAGCCCGGCAUGCCACGUGCUGCCGUGGCGUUCCAUAUGUUGUGUGGUGCGUUCUGUCAGUCUGACUGGCAGAAACAUGCUAAGGGUGGGAGUGCUCCGUGGAGAUCCUCGGUCUGCAGUCUGCAGGUCUCCGGUGAGCUCGCUUACAUUUUUUGUUUAGUCUAUCACAGUGUGUGAGGGCACUCGACUAAUGUGACCAAUUUAUUUGUUUCAUAGGAGUCGGGCAGAAGUAGAAUUUAACAAGAACUUUUACAAUUUUGAUGUGCAAGGAAACUUUCUUGGGCGUUACUGGCGCAAGGUGCCUUUGGACCUUGUUUUCGUAUGGAAGGGUCAGCCCUGUCCACGUGGCGAGGGGGCGUCAGCACCGGAGUCCGGGGAGCAGCCGGCUCAUCCCUGACAAGGUGUGUCUCCUGCCCGUUUCCUGCCGGUAGUGCUGUGUAAUUCAGGUUUUAAAUUUCUGUGUAAAGUAAUUUCUGAUUUCAUUUAUUUUGAGAAUUCUGGUGCAUAACUUUAGGUAAAUUCGUAUUUAGUUUUUGUAGAAUAAAUGGUUGUAAGAAACCUUUUCCUGGACCCUCUUAAAGCGGCCCAGCUUUACCACUGAGCGUAGUUCUUAUUUCAUAUAUGGUGUCAAAUUUAGUAUUUUGGAAACAUUAACUUAAACCUAUCUGUAAGGCAAGAUUUUGGUAUAAUAAAUAUAUAAAAUGUGA